GUGCUCUCUUUGGCAGCACAUAUACUAAAAUGAUACAGAGAAGAUUAGCAUGGCCGCUGCGCAAGGGCGACACACAAAUUCACAAAGUGUUCUGUAUUUUA
rnacentral:snRNA from 1 species